CCUACGGGAGGCAGCAGUGGGGAAUCUUGCGCAAUGGGCGAAAGCCUGACGCAGCAACGCCGCGUGCGGGAAGAAGGCUUUCGGGCUGUAAACCGCUUUCAGCAGGAACGAAAAUGACGGUACCUGCAGAAGAAGGAGCGGCCAACUAUGUGCCAGCAGCCGCGGUGAUACAUAGGCUUCAAGCGUUGUCCGGAUUUAUUGGGCGUAAAGAGUUCGUAGGCGGUCGAGUAAGUCGGGUGUGAAAAUUCUGGGCUCAACCCAGAGACGCCACCCGAUACUGCUUGACUUGAGUUCGAUAGGGGAGUGGGGAAUUCCUAGUGUAGCGGUGAAAUGCGCAGAUAUUAGGAGGAACACCGGUGGCGAAGGCGCCACUCUGGAUCGAUACUGACGCUGAGGAACGAAAGCAUGGGUAGCAAACAGGAUUAGAUACCCUGGUAGUCCAUGCCGUAAACGGUGGGCACUAGGUGUGGGUUUCUAUUAACGAAAUCCGNGCCGUCGCUAACGCAUUAAGUGCCCGCCUGGGGAAGUCGGUCGCAAGCUAAAACNCAAAGGAAUUGACCGGNUUGAGAGNGCGAGNGCNGAGGAGAG
rnacentral:rRNA from 1 species